rnacentral:lncRNA from 1 species
CACCACAUUGAUAGCAGCAACAAUAAAAGUGCUUUGUUUCUGCAAUCAUCGAAAGAUUAUCCACGUCAUUUCUCAAUCCACCCAGAAUGGGGUCUUCACACACGUGUGAAAUUUACAAACGCUAUCACAACUUGACUUCAUCGUAUUAAAACAACAUAUUUACCUAUCAUGACCAGCAUAGACAAUUAAUGUAUUUUAUUGGCACGCUGCGACAAUUUUAGUCGUACCUGACUGGUACGUCAAUGGUUGUUGCCGCGUACUUGCGCUAGUACAAACUCGGUACUCAAUGUGUACUUAGUCUUUCAAAUAAGAUUCAGGUUUCUGAAAAGUAUGUUCAGACUACGAGGUAGAAUAAGAAGCACAAUUGCAUACACAAACAAUCGACUUCAACGUUUCUUAGCGCCAUCAGUUCAAUCAUGUUUCAUACCAAGACAUCUCAGACACAUGAUAUACCAACUAAAUUACGGUAUUGAAUACCUUUGGCUUGGAACGGUCAUGUGGUACCAGCAAAAAGUAAGUACGCAGAUAGCAAGAGUUACCAAACCGUAUACACCGUAAUAUAGAAGUAUAUACCGUAAUAU